AGUUAUAUAUUUGCUGAACAAUGAAAAAUAUUAUACUAAAUAAUUGGUGGUGGUUAAAUUUACGUCAAGCGUCGUGAACCACAUUCCCAUUGUUUAAACUAUAUAACUAAAACAAAAAGGCUUGUC
rfam:Psychroflexus salarius strain DSM 25661 genome assembly, contig: Ga0131153_101